rnacentral:rRNA from 1 species
AAACUUGAGAGUUUGAUCAUGGCUCAGAACGUACGCUGGCGGCACGCCUAACACAUGCAAGUCGAACGAAGUAGCAAUACUUAGUGGCAGACGGGUGAGUAACAUGUAGGUAUCUGCCCUUUGGCCUGGAAUAACACGAGGAAACUUGUGCUAAUACCGGAUAAGUCUUUACGGAGAAAGCUUUAUGCACCAUUGGAUGAGCCUGCACUUGAUUAGUUUGUUGGUGGGGUAAUGGCCUACCAAGACUGUGAUCAAUAGCUGAUUUGAGAGGAUGAUCAGCCACAUUGGGACUGAGACACGGCCCAAACUCCUACGGGAGGCAGCAGUGGGGAAUCUUGCACAAUGGAGGAAACUCUGAUGCAGCGAUGCCGCGUGAGUGAAGAAGGCCUUUGGGUUGUAAAGCUCUUUCGUCGGGGAAGAAAAUGACUGUACCCGAAUAAGAAGGUCCGGCUAACUUCGUGCCAGCAGCCGCGGUAAUACGAAGGGACCUAGCGUAGUUCGGAAUUACUGGGCUUAAAGAGUUCGUAGGUGGUUGAAAAAGUUAGUGGUGAAAUCCCAGAGCUUAACUCUGGAACUGCCAUUAAAACUUUUCAGCUAGAGUAUGAUAGAGGAAAGCAGAAUUUCUAGUGUAGAGGUGAAAUUCGUAGAUAUUAGAAAGAAUACCAAUUGCGAAGGCAGCUUUCUGGAUCAUUACUGACACUGAGGAACGAAAGCAUGGGUAGCGAAGAGGAUUAGAUACCCUCGUAGUCCAUGCCGUAAACGAUGUGUGUUAGACGUUGGAAAUUUAUUUUCAGUGUCGCAGCGAAAGCGAUAAACACACCGCCUGGGGAGUACGACCGCAAGGUUAAAACUCAAAUGAAUUGACGGGGACCCGCACAAGUAGUGGAGCAUGUGGUUUAAUUCGAAGAUACGCGCAGAACCUUACCAACACUUGACAUGUUCGUCGCGACUCUAAGAGAUUAGAGUUUUCGGUUCGGCCGGACGAAACACAGGUGCUGCAUGGCUGUCGUCAGCUCGUGUCGUGAGAUGUUGGGUUAAGUCCCGCAACGAGCGCAACCCUCACUUUUAGUUGCCAUCAUUAAGUUGGGCACUCUGAAAGAACUGCCAGUGAUAAGCUGGAGGAAGGUGGGGAUGACGUCAAGUCCUCAUGGCCCUUACGUGUUGGGCUACACACGUGCUACAAUGGUAUCUACAACAGGAAGCAAGACUGCGAAGUUAAGCAAAUCCCUAAAAGAUACCUCAGUUCGGAUUGCACUCUGCAACUCGAGUGCAUGAAGCUGGAAUUACUAGUAAUCGUGGAUCAGCGUGCCACGGUGAAUGCGUUCCCGGGUCUUGUACACACCGCCCGUCACACCAUGGGAGUUGGUUCUACCUUAAGGCAAGGUUUCAAACCCUUGACCACGGUAUAGUCAGCGACUGGGGUGAAGUCGUAACAAGGUAGCCGUAGGGGAACCUGCGGCUGGAUUACCUCCUUU